CGUACACUCCUACGGGAGGCAGCAGUGGGGAAUCUUACGCAAUGGGCGAAAGCCUGACGCAGCCAUGCCGCGUGAAUGAUGAAGGUCUUAGGAUUGUAAAAUUCUUUCACCGGGGCCGAUAAUGACGGUACCCGGAGAAGAAGCCCCGGCUAACUUCGUGCCAGCAGCCGCGGUAAUACGAAGGGGGCUAGCGUUGCUCGGAAUUACUGGGCGUAAAGGGAGCGUAGGCGGACAUUUAAGUCAGGGGUGAAAUCCCGGGGCUCAACCUCGGAAUUGCCUUUGAUACUGGGUGUCUUGAGUAUGAGAGAGGUGUGUGGAACUCCGAGUGUAGAGGUGAAAUUCGUAGAUAUUCGGAAGAACACCAGUGGCGAAGGCGACACACUGGCUCAGUACUGACGCUGAGGCUCGAAAGCGUGGGGAGCAAACAGGAUUAGAAACCCGUGUAGUCCCAUGAU
rnacentral:rRNA from 1 species